GUUAAAGGAAGGGUAGGUUUUGGGUAUGAACGUCCCAGAGAUCAUUGAUAGUACUAACCACCCACUCACAAACACCAGGAAGUACCGGGAGAUAUGAACCACCACAGUACCAUUUAUAUUGCGAAGGGACCGAAUAACUAACAGCAGCACUUGCUCUCAUACCGCCGUCUGAGGAGAGAGUAUAUUGAUGCCGGUGAUAGAACGCGAGAAACUUACCGAAAGUUUUUUUUAAAUCUCUAUUUUUUUCUUCACAACCGUGUGUAUAAAACACGUGAGUGUUGGUGUAUUGGCCUGAUGUGACAGCGGAGCUCCGUUCAGUGAAUUAAAGACGUCACGCACACCGGCGACAGGGGCGAUGCGGUGGACCUAUAAGAAGAGCGUUACCAUGGGAGCAGUCUUCCUCCUCCUCUCCAUCCUUUACUUCAGUCUCCCUCUGGACCUCAGGAGCACCUGGGUGGAGGAGUGGCAGGUCCAGACCUUCUC